AUUAGUUGUAUCCAGUUCAGUCUGGUUGUAUCCAGUUCAAUCCAGUCAUCUAUGCAUCCUGGACAAGUAACUUUUCUCUAGCCUCAAGUUGAUAAAUGCCUUCUAAGUGGAACUCUGUAAACAGGACUUUAUGAAACCCCAUCGAGCAUGACUGACUGCAAAUACUCUUACAGGAUACGUUUGACAGCAGAGGAUGACAAAGGCAAACCAGUUCUUUAUUGAACAAAGAGAGCUUUAUGGAUGUUCCAUUAGGCCUAUAGCAAACAAAUGACAACAGAGUGCCAAACAGAAAAACAAAGAAAUCAACAUUUUCAGUGCCUGCUUCUCUUCACUUCCAGUCAUGGUUCCAAAGUAGCCAAACCCACUUGAGACAUUUGUACUGUAUAUGGAGAAGCACUAAUACUCAAAGAACUGUAUAGAGAUGUUGUGUCUGGGGAGAGUCAUUCUCUUUGAGUGCCUUCUAAUUUAACACACUCUCCGAUAAAAU